UACGGAGGGGGCUAGCGUUGUUCGGAAUUACUGGGCGUAAAGCGCGCGUAGGCGGCCGGCCAAGUCGGGUGUGAAAUCCCUCGGCUCAACCGAGGAACUGCACUCGAUACUGGCUGGCUUGAGUCCGGGAGGGGAUGGUGGAAUUCCCAGUGUAGCGGUGAAAUGCGUAGAUAUUGGGAAGAACACCGGUGGCGAAGGCGACCAUCUGGACCGGAACUGACGCUGAGGCGCGAAAGCCAGGGGAGCGAACAGG
rnacentral:rRNA from 1 species